rnacentral:rRNA from 1 species
AAGCGGUGGAGGAUGUGGCUUAAUUCGAGGCUACGCGAAGAACCUUAUCCUAGUCUUGACAUACCUCUCUAAGGUGGUGAAAGCCAUCGAGUGGAGCAAUCCACAAUUGGUACAGGUGCUGCAUGGCUGUCGUCAGCUCGUGUCGUGAGAUGUCGGGUUAAGUCCCUUAACGAGCGAAACCCUUGUCCUUAGUUGCCAGCGAGUCAUGUCGGGGACUCUAAGGAGACUGCCGGCGUUAAGCCGGAGGAAGGUGGGGAUG